rnacentral:rRNA from 1 species
GACGAACGCUGGCGGCGUGCCUAAUACAUGCAAGUCGAACGCAGUGGGGACGGGUGAGUAACACGUGGGUAACCUCCCAUCAGAGGGGAUAACACUUGGAAACAGGUGCUAAACCGAUACUGAUGGAUGGACUCGCGGUGGAUUAGCAAGUUGGUGAGGGAACGGCCCACCAAGGCCACGAUGCAUAGCGGACCUGAGAGGGUGAUCGGCCACACUGGGACUGAGACACGGCCCAGACUCCUACGGGAGGCAGCAGUGGGGAAUCUUCGGCAAUGGGCGAAAGUCUGACCCAGCAACGCCGCGUGUAUGAAGAAGGCUUUCGGAUCGUAAAAUUCGUUUGUUAGAGAAGCGGUAUCUAACCAGAAAGCCACGGCUAACUACGUGCCAGCAGCCGCGGUAAUAC